GACGAACGCUGGCGGCGUGCUUAACACAUGCAAGUCGAACGGUGAUGCUCCAGCUUGCUGGAGUGGAUCAGUGGCGAACGGGUGAGUAACACGUGAGCAACCUGCCCCAGACUCUGGAAUAAGCGCUGGAAACGGCGUCUAAUACUGGAUACGAAACUGGCCCGCAUGGGCAUGGUUUGGAAAGUUCUUCGGUUUGGGAUGGGCUCGCGGCCUAUCAGCUUGUUGGUGAGGUAAUGGCUCACCAAGGCGACGACGGGUAGCCCGCCUGAGAGGGCGACCGGCCACACUGGGACUGAGACACGGCCCAGACUCCUACGGGAGGCAGCAGUGGGGAAUAUUGCACAAUGGGCGAAAGCCUGAUGCAGCGACGCCGCGUGAGGGAUGACGGCCUUCUGGUUGUAAACCUCUUUCAGCAGGGAAGAAGCGAAAGUGACGGUACCUGCAGAAGAAGCACCGGCUAACUACGUG
rnacentral:rRNA from 1 species